rnacentral:rRNA from 1 species
GACGAACGCUGGCGGCGUGCCUAAUACAUGCAAGUAGAACGCUGAAGGAGGAGCUUGCUUCUCUGGAUGAGUUGCGAACGGGUGAGUAACGCGUAGGUAACCUGCCUGGUAGCGGGGGAUAACUAUUGGAAACGAUAGCUAAUACCGCAUAACAGUAGAUAUCGCAUGAUAUCUACUUGAAAGGUGCAAUUGCAUCACUACCAGAUGGACCUGCGUUGUAUUAGCUAGUUGGUGAGGUAACGGCUCACCAAGGCGACGAUACAUAGCCGACCUGAGAGGGUGAUCGGCCACACUGGGACUGAGACACGGCCCAGACUCCUACGGGAGGCAGCAGUAGGGAAUCUUCGGCAAUGGACGGAAGUCUGAACGAGCAACGCCGCGUGAGUGAAGAAGGGUUUCGGAUCGUAAAGCUCUGUUGUAAGAGAAGAACGAGUGUGAGAGUGGAAAGUUCACACUGUGACGGUAUCUUACCAGAAAGGGACGGCUAACUACGUG